rnacentral:rRNA from 1 species
UACAGAGGUCUCAAGCGUUGUUCGGAUUCAUUGGGCGUAAAGGGCGCGUGAGGCGGCUGUCAAGUCACUUGUGAAAUCUCUGAGCUUAACUCAGAACGGCCAAGUGAAACUGACAUGCUAGAGUGCAGAAGGGGCAACUGGAAUUCUCGGUGUAGCGGUGAAAUGCGUAGAUAUCGAGAGGAACACCUGCGGCGAAGGCGGGUUGCUGGGCUGACACUGACGCUGGAGGAGCGAAAGCGUGGGUAGCAAACAGG